CCCAAUUCUCUUGUCAAUUGAAAAACCCUUGCCGCACACAUUGCUGGCAUUCUAAUUCUCCGCCCUCUCCCAUCAACCUUCGUGUGUCGAUCCUUCGAGGACCGCUUCGGAGGUGUUGCUGUUACAGAAGUGGUGGUGGUUGUAGAUGCGGUCGUAACUAUGGAAAGAUUCUCCUGCUGAUUCUUCUUUGUUGAGUCUAAAAGAGACCCAGAUCUGGUGGCGAUAGCAAGAGACGCGUCGACGAGGUGAGGAGGAGCUGCAGAA
rnacentral:misc_RNA from 1 species